GACGAACGCUGGCGGCGUGCUUAACACAUGCAAGUCGAACGGAAAGGCCUGCUUUCCCUUGUGGAUUGCGGGUACUCGAGUGGCGAACGGGUGAGUAACACGUAAGUGAUCUGCCCCCAACUUGGGUAUAAGCCUGGGAAACUGGGUCUAAUUCCCGAUAGGACUGCAGGGUGGUGCCUGUGGUGGAAAACGAUUUUCUAGUGGUUGGGGAUGAGCUCGCGGCCUAUCAGCUUGUUGGUGGGGUAAUGGCCUACCAAGGCGGCGACGGGUAGCCGGCCUGAGAGGGUGGACGGCCACAUUGGGACUGAGAUACGGCCCAGACUCCUACGGGAGGCAGCAGUGGGGAAUAUUGCACAAUGGGCGGAAGCCUGAUGCAGCGACGCCGCGUGGGGGAUGACGGCCUUCGGGUUGUAAACUCCUUUCGACCGCGAGGAAGCCACCUGGUUGGAAGGGUGGUGACGGUAGUGGUAGAAGAAGCACCGGCUAACUACGUG
rnacentral:rRNA from 1 species